rnacentral:lncRNA from 1 species
CCCAUCAGUGUUCAGUUUCUGUACAUCCUUCUGUGAUGUUUCUUUGACCUUGGAAUAAAAUCCCUAAUCUUGGCCCAUGAGAACCCGUCCUGUGUGAUCGACAGCUUCCUGUCUUUCUGAACUCAGCAUAUUCCUCUCCCCGUCGUACACUGCUCUAGCCACACAGGCUGCUGUUCCUCAGCCACACCCAGCUUGUCCCUG